rnacentral:rRNA from 1 species
AAGGAAUAUUGGUCAAUGGACGCAAGUCUGAACCAGCCAUGCCGCGUGAAGGAUGAAGGUCCUCUGGAUUGUAAACUUCUUUUAUCUGGGACGAAAACGGGAUUUUUUAUCUCAAUUGACGGUACCAGAGGAAUAAGCACCGGCUAACUCCGUGCCAGCAGCCGCGGUAAUACGGAGGGUGCGAGCGUUAUCCGGAUUUACUGGGUUUAAAGGGUGCGUAGGUGGGCUUAUAAGUCAGUGGUGAAAUCUCCGAGCUUAACUUGGAAACUGCCGUUGAUACUAUAGGUCUUGAAUUAUCUGGAGGUAAGCGGAAUAUGUCAUGUAGCGGUGAAAUGCUUAGAUAUGACAUAGAACACCAAUUGCGAAGGCAGCUUACUACAUAUAAAUUGACGCUGAGGCACGAAAGCGUGGGGAUCAAACA